rnacentral:lncRNA from 1 species
AUGAUGACUGAGGUCUGGCCAUGUGAGAGAGGGGAACCGUACUUGGCUUGGGAAGAGGCAGCUUACAGGGAGAUCUGGCUGCAGGCUGCUGUAACUACAGGCCAUCUAGAAGAUGGAGUCAGUGUUCCAGCCAAACAUGAGAGUAUUACAAUGGAGAACAGAAGAAAAACAGGAGGAGAGCAGAAGGAGAAACAGAAUUAUAGAAGAGUGAUGUAUAAAUCUGCCAUUUUGUUAAAGUCAAUUAGAGACAAACACUCUGGAAAUCUUGCUGUGAAGAAGAGCUGAAAAUACUCACCUAUGUGAGUUGACAGUAAAGUCAGUGUUGUUAAUUAUUCUCUACAUAAAAGAUGUAGAGCAAAUACAAUUUUUAAAGAAUUUGCUUUCUAUGUCAGUGUACUUAAUACAUUAGAGAUUUUUAAAGACUGAAGGUGAGCAUCUUCAGCCUGGGUAAGAGAAGUCUUCAGGACAUCAAGUAGCCUUCCAGCAUGUAAAAGAAAGUUAUAAAGAAGACAAAGCUAAGCAGUUCAGUAGUAUGUGAUAAGAGAAUGACAGUAGGCAUGAGCAGAAAAGAGAGGUUCUAACUGGAUUUAAGGAGAAACCUCUUCAACACGAGGACAGUAUGUCUGUGUAACUAACUGCCUGAAGAGGUUAUACUAUCUUUUGUACUGUUGUCUCUCAGAGGCAAGCACUGAUUUCUGCACUCUGGUGACAGGACAUGGGGGAACAACAUGGAGCUGCAUCUGUGGAGGGUCAGGUGGAGGUUAGGGAGAGGUUCUUCACUAAAGGGUGGUGGGACUCUGGAACAGGCUCCCCAAGGCAAUGGUCACAGACUCAAGCUGCCAGUGUUCAAGAAGUGCGUGGACAGUGCUCUCAGACAUAGGUUUGAAUUUUGAGUGGUUUGUGAUGAGCCAGGAGUUGGACUCCAUGUUUCUUCUGAGUUCUUUCCAACUUGGGAUAUUCUGUGAUUCUCUGUCCUUGGAAGCUCUUAAGGACAGAGAUAUUCUGCAGCUAUAUUAAUUGUAUCAUAUACAAUUACAUACCAAAUAGUACUCAUAUUGACAAACUGCUCCCUUCCUCACCUAGUUUCAUCGGUAGUUUAUUUUUAUUUUGUUUAUAAUAUUGAGUCAGUUCAUCUUUCACAUAUUUUGAAUAUUCUUCAAGGUGAAGAUAUUGUACAGUGUUAUUGGUCAUCUAGGAGGUAUAUAUUUUUCACCUUGUUUUGCCCAGCGCAAAUUACACUUGCUGACCUUUCAGAAAUUAUUUGUUUCGUUUCUGUUCUCUUUUAAAUAGCAUACUCAUUGUGUAAAUAUAUUUAAAUAUUUUGUGUUGUAUUGUAAUUGAGUCAUGGCCUGAACACUGAUCGAACACCUGGGGAAAGAACCUGGUCAGCUCUGGGAGCACAGGUGAAGGCAAUUCAGCUGUGUGACAGGAAGGGGUGGAGCCUGGCCACACUUCUCUUAGACCUCAUUUAAGGGCUGACUGCCACUGGAGAAGGAACUCUUCCUGGACAUCCAUCCUUGGUGAAGCUUUCCCCUGCAAUGCUGGAAUCUUCUGAUAUGUGUGAGCAAUCUUCCCUUUCAUUAUAGCAACCUCUCUACUGUGCCAGUUCUUUCAUCAUCACGCCUCUGUUGCAGUGAUUUUUGCAUUGUAUUGAUCUGUCCAAUUGCUACAGUUGUGUAAGUGUUUACAUUGUAAUUGUCAUCUUUGCUUGAGUGCAACGCGGCUUUAGACUGACAGCAUUUGGAUCACUUUUAAAGCCUUAGCUGUUGUAGAUGAUAGUACAUACAUCUUAUUCUAUUUUGAUGUGAGGUUUGCUGACUCUUAGUGUAGUUAAAGUGUACUAUUUGUUUUACAAAUGUGUGUAAAAUGUAAGCACCUUCUUUAAGUGCACCUAAAAUCCACAGGAUAGAAUUUCAAAUAAAUCUAUUAUAAGAAUCA